CAGCAGCCGCGGUAAUACAGAGGGUGCAAGCGUUAAUCGGAAUUACUGGGCGUAAAGCGCGCGUAGGUGGUUCGUUAAGUUGGAUGUGAAAUCCCCGGGCUCAACCUGGGAACUGCAUCCAAAACUGGCGAGCUAGAGUAGGGCAGAGGGUGGUGGAAUUUCCUGUGUAGCGGUGAAAUGCGUAGAUAUAGGAAGGAACACCAGUGGCGAAGGCGACCACCUGGGCUCAUACUGACACUGAGGUGCGAAAGCGUGGGGAGCAAACAGGAUUAGAUACCCGUGUAGUCCCUGUCUCUUAUAC
rnacentral:rRNA from 1 species